rnacentral:lncRNA from 1 species
GUUUAACUAUUUCUAUGAAUGUGUAAGAAAUAUAUAAUAUUAAGAACACUGUGUCAGUGUGAAGUGAACGUUUUUGAUAAUAUAAUCGGAUAAUAUAUUCGUGAUACUCUUUAUUUUGUUGAGAAGUUACUAAACAAUGAUGUUGUGAUCGACGGGGAAACAAUUAUAUGCGAUGUCUAAACUUGAAUGGGAUUGAUUAAAAGAUCAAAAGACCAAUACUGGAAAAGCUGAUGACAGUGACAAAAGGCGCUAAUCGAAGAAAACAAAUAUCAGAGACGAACAAUUACAUAUGCAUAAGUUAUACAUGACCAAGAGAAGAACGAAUAGACAUGCAUAACAUCCCAGGUCAAAUAUUGAACAAGGAUCAGAAGAAAGAAUAGAUUUAGACAUUUGUGAAAGGAACAAUGGAAACUUUGGAAGUGUACUCUUUCUGAAACGUAUACCUACAAUAAAGAUGUGAUCAUUG